CGCCUCAGAGCCAGUGGCGAGGCCGCCGCCCCCUCUGGGCAUCGGAGAGGCGCCGGCUAGAGCGCCCGCGGAGCCGCCAUCUCAGGGACUCUGCCUGUUGUGACAUCCGCCGGAGGGAACAAUAGAAUGUGCCUUAUCACCUCCAGACGCCUCACAGUCCCAUUGAAGAUUCGGGAUUUGGAAAUCAGCAGGCUGAUCCACGCUCGAAGAUUCGGGAUUUGGAAAUCAGCAGGCUGAUCCACGCUCGAAGAUUCGGGAUUUGGAAAUCAGCAGGCUGAUCCACGCUCGAAGAUUUGGGAUUUGGAAAUCAGCAGGCUGAUCCACGCUCGAAGAUUCGGGAUUUGGAAAUCAGCAGGCUGAUCCACACUCGCUGGCCCUCCUGAAUUACUGACCCACCCACCCCCUCUCUCCUCAGGGCAGGUUACAUCAAACAAACAGCUUGUUUGAGCUAAAUAGCCGGGGCCAAAUUAUUUAUUUAACCAUAAGCCUUGUUAUCUUCGAGAACAGAAGGAAAUCACUUCCCUUCACAUUUUCCUAUCUCUCUCCCCCAGAGCCCCUGUCACAUCUUCAUUUUUUCAGGUCUCCUUGAACUGUACCGCUUCCUCUGUUCCCUCUGUGAGUGCUCAUAACCUUGAGUUGAUUUCCCAGCCAAUAAAUCCUGGAGUCAACUUUU